CCUACGGGAGGCUGCAGUGGGGAAUCUUGCGCAAUGGGCGGAAGCCUGACGCAGCGACGCCACGUGCGGGACGAAGGCCUUCGGGUCGUAAACCGCUUUCAGCAGGGACGAGGCCCUCCCGGUGACGGUACCUGCAGAAGAAGCCCCGGCUAACUACGUGCCAGCAGCCGCGGUAAUACGUAGGGGGCGAGCGUUAUCCGGAUUUAUUGUGCGUAAAGCGCGCGUAGGCGGCCUGUUAGGUCGGGGGUCAAAUACCGGGGGUCAACCCCGGUCCGGCCCCGAUACCGGCAGGCUGGAGUAUGGUAGGUGACGGCGGAAGACCCAGUGGAGCGGCGGAAGGCGCAGAGAUUGGGAAGAACACCGGCGGCGAAGGAGGCCUUUUGGGCAACGACUGACGACGAGGAGCGACAGCUAGGGGAGCGAACAGGAGUAGAUAACCGAGCAGUC
rnacentral:rRNA from 1 species